UACGGAGGGGGCGAGCGUUGUUCGGAAUCAUUGGGCGUAAAGGGCGCGUAGGCGGCCGGCCAAGUCGGGUGUGAAAUCCCUCGGCUCAACCGAGGGACUGCAUUCGAUACUGGCUGGCUCGAGUCCGGGAGGGGAUGGUGGAAUUCCCAGUGUAGCGGUGAAAUGCGUAGAUAUUGGGAAGAACACCGGUGGCGAAGGCGACUAUCUGGACCGGAACUGACGCUGAGGCGCGAAAGCCAGGGGAGCGAAUGGG
rnacentral:misc_RNA from 1 species